rnacentral:rRNA from 1 species
AUGGUGCCCGAUGGCAAGGCCCCCGCAAUGGGUGCCCGUCAGCUAGCUGCCGUCAUGCUCGCCGAGUGCCAGAGUUGCCGCAGGAGUGGACACCUUCUACCGACAAUCCUAUACCGCAUGCCGGUCGCCCGCAAGCGACCUGGUGCGCACCCCCUCGCGUGCUGGGCGUUUGUAAGGGCCGACACGAAAAGAGGGGAGUCUGACCCUGUCGCCGCCGUCCUCCUCUCCGCGCCCGCUCCCUCCGCCUCCUCUCUCUCACCACGCUCUCCCGCCGCCGCGCUCCACUCCCUCCUCGCCGCGCGCGCACUCCCAUGCUCUUACCCCCGCCUCCCUCGCUCCUCCUCUCCCUCCCGGAGUGCCACCGCCUCCCGCCCCCCUCCGCCCGCCUCCUCCCCAGGCUUCUUUCGCGCCCCUGCUCUUCCCCCGCCCAGGCAGCCGGAUUCCUCCGCGCCGGUCACCUCUCCGUUCAACCCCCUCUUGGCCGCGCUCGCCCGCGUCCUCUACCUCCCUGGCACGACCCAGCUCUUUGCCUCCAUGCGCAACGCCGCCGUCCGGCCCGACGUUGCCUGGUAUGGCAUGCUUGCCAACGGGCUCUGCAAAGCCGGCCGCGCGCAGGGCGCUCGAUGA